UGGGGAAUCUUGCGCAAUGGGGGAAACCCUGACGCAGCGACGCCGCGUGCGGGAUGAAGGCCUUCGGGUUGUAAACCGCUUUCAGCAGGGACGAGGCCUUAUGGUGACGGUACCUGCAGAAGAAGCUCCGGCUAAAUACGUGCCAGCAGCCGCGGUAAUACGUAUGGAGCAAGCGUUAUCCGGAUUCAUUGGGCGUAAAGCGCUCGUAGGCGGUCUGUUAGGUCGGCAAGUUAAAUCCGGGGGCUCAACCCCCGUCCGCUUCCGAUACCGGCAGACUUGAGUUUGGUAGGGGAAGGUGAAAUUCCUAGUGUAGCGGUGGAAUGCGCAGAUAUUAGGAAGAACACCGGUGGCGAAGGCGGCCUUCUGGGCCAUAACUGACGCUGAGGAGCGAAAGCUAGGGGAGCGAACAGG
rnacentral:rRNA from 1 species